rnacentral:rRNA from 1 species
UACGUAGGGUGCAAGCGUUAAUCGGAAUUACUGGGCGUAAAGCGUGCGCAGGCGGCUUUGCAAGACAGAUGUGAAAUCCCCGGGCUUAACCUGGGAACUGCAUUUGUGACUGCCCGGCUAGAGUGUGUCAGAGGGGGGUAGAAUUCCACGUGUAGCAGUGAAAUGCGUAGAGAUGUGGAGGAAUACCGAUGGCGAAGGCAGCCCCCUGGGAUAACACUGACGCUCAUGCACGAAAGCGUGGGGAGCAAACAGG